CAGGAUGCGGUUGCCCGUCGAGCUAGGAGACUUAUGGCGAAGACUCUCCUUUGAUGGCGAAACUUCAAAGUCUCGAUCACCGCCGUAAGGUCGCCGGCUUAUCGGUGUUUUAUAGGAUAUAUUUCGGAGAGUGUGCACAGGAACUUUUCGAUCUUGUCCCC